CCUUGUUAAGAAAUGUUAAAUCCUGGUCAGGGAUGAGUACAAAGAAUUUGAAAAGUUGAUACAGGAGGAUUUGAAGGAGGUGGACAACCGUUUGGAAGAAGAAGAGUUUGAUGCAGCUGAGAUGAUUGAAGAGGCCGAGUCUGUGGAGCAAAAGGUGUAUUGGGAGAAAGUGGAAAUGCUGAAGAAGAAGAAAUUGGAGCUGAAGGCGGCUAGAUCCGGCAUACGGAGUAAAGAGCCUGAGGUCAGAGGCAAGGGGCGUAGCUCUGAAGAGGAUUCAUCCAGUGAUGAUGAUAGUGAUGGGAAUUUCAUGGUUGAUUGGAGAGCACAACACCUGUGAAUACUUCUGUUUGAAAUUUUCUGGUAGCAUCGCCUGUGCAGACAUGUCUAUGUCGGCAUGCAAACACCUGAUUACGUUUGCUGGAGUUUGGUGCUGCUUCUUUCAUUCUGAGCCAUUCUCCAGAUUUUGGUUCAACUGGCUGCUGAUUGAAAGGGAUGGGGAGUGGGGCGAGGAGAGAGUAAGCCCUGGUCCAAGAUCCUAGAAUUUUACAUUGUUUCUGUAUGCAUGUAUAUAAAGAAGAUCUGGGUUUUGGUUGAAACUUGAAUGGUGUAUCCCGAAUUCCAAUACUAAGAUUUAGGGUUUAAUGGAGACAAAUGGGUUAGGAAAGGAAUCAGUUUUAUGCUCUUAUUGUUUAUUUGGAAUUUUUGAGUUC